rnacentral:rRNA from 1 species
ACGGGGCCCGCACAAGCGGUGGAGCAUGUGGUUUAAUUCGAAGCAACGCGAAGAACCUUACCAGGCCUUGACAUGCUAGGGAACCCGGGUGAAAGCCUGGGGUGCCCCGCGAGGGGAGCCCUAGCACAGGUGCUGCAUGGCCGUCGUCAGCUCGUGCCGUGAGGUGUUGGGUUAAGUCCCGCAACGAGCGCAACCCUUAUCCCCAGUUGCCAUCAGGUAAAGCUGGGAACUCUGGGGAGACUGCCGGUGAUAAACCGGAGGAAGGCGGGGAUGACGUCAAGUCCUCAUGGCCCUUACAUCCCGGGCUACACACGUGCUACAAUGGCAGGUACAGAGGGCUGCGAAGCCGCGAGGUGGAGCGAAUCCCAGAAAACCUGUCUCAGUCCGGAUUGAAGUCUGCAACUCGACUUCAUGAAGGCGGAAUCGCUAGUAACCGCGAAUCAGCAGGUCGCGGUGAAUACGUUCCCGGGCCUU